UUUUGUGUUUGUAUUAAAGGUGUGAUUAACACCUGGCUGCUCUGCAAAUCAGCCCUGACUGAUUGUAUGAUCUCUGUGCCUACACUUGUCUGCUGCACUGGCAAUAACAGAGGAGCACUCGGGUUUGGAGUCACGGAUGCUUUGGGCUUAGGCAGAAUUGGAGGACCCAUUUCCUUCCUUUCUCCAUUCUCUGACUUGCAGGGGAUCGGUAACCUGGGAACCUGUGGGCAGUAUGGACAAUUCAUUCUUCACACUGUUCAAGAGCUAUGGAUUUAAUCCUGUAUGUGGCAAGUUUGUCAAAUUAACAGACCCUUCAAUUUUGUUCUGGCUGCUGCUAGGGGUAAGUAAAUAGAGAUGGAAAAUCCACCCAUCUCACUAGGAACUGGCUCCAGCCCUGGACAUGUUGCAAGCACAGACGUAGGUGAUGAUGGCUGAACAGGGAAAGCUGUAAACCAGAUUUUGUUGUGCACAAGAUUUCUUGGUGGGACCCCCAGGUUUCUGUAUGUAUCAGUUCCACUGAGUUCAUGCAAAGAGGAGCUGAAUUCACAUGAACAGGGUCUGGUUGACACUCACUCAAAAUGCUGUGCUGAACACAAGAAUACAAGGUACCAUUGUGCACGAUGUGACAACAGAAGUUCCCCAAGCAAGUGCGCCCUCAUACACUACACACUAGCAAAAAGUAAUUAUUGAAUUUACUCUGCAGAGCAACUAUGAGAUAAAUAAUUUCAGUCCUUUAAUUACUCACUGUAAAGAAGCUCCAUAAAUAAUUACUGAUUUACUGACAGCAAUUUAGUUGGUCUAAGAACCCAAGAUUAAUAACGCACUCUGCUGUUCUCUGGAAUAAUAGCUUAGGUGCCAUUUCUAAACAUUAUGUAUCUUCAUCCUGGACUCUGAUAACUGCCAGCUAAUCCUGACCAAAGGAGCUAUGAAAGUGCAGCUAAAAUGGAGAUUUCUUUCAUCUCAGUAAAUCUCUUUCCCUUAGUGCCUGUUUUUCGCCUUAGUCAGGUUCCUAGUGAAGCAAUCUUAAUUUAUUAGUUUAAUUUGGGAAAUUAGUUGCUGUAGGUUUUGAUUAUAUAGAUCAAUGGACAAUAAAAACAUUUUGACUUGAGUGAGAUUUCUUUUCCUUCCGCAGGGAUGCAAAGAGAAUACUGAAAUAAUUUAGACCAUUAUUGUUUCAGAGACUAAAAUUCAAAUACUAAAGAAGUAUUGCACUGAAAUCUCUGGUAAAGAGAAGUCUAUUGUUGCCAAGAAAUAGCUGUCUGCAACUGUGUAAAGACAUAACACAUUAAAAGUUUAAAUAAGUAAUAACUGCUACGUUAGAAGUGUCCCUCCCAAUAUUAUUGUAAAUUGUGUUUUUGAAAGCUUCUAGCUGAUUUAGGAGUCUAAGUCACAUCACUAGUGACAUGGGACUGAACCCACAUAGCUGUAUCUUCAAAAACAUUUUUGAAAGUAAUUGGACAUAGCUGCUAUUUGAAUAUUUUUCUGGGUCUCCAUUCACAUUUGAGGAGUUAAAGAUGUUUUAAUGUCUGUGCCUACAUGGUUUAGACUUUAAGGCCUGUUCAAUGCCUUUUACUACUUGCCCUUCCAGCUGCCCAGUCCCUUAUGAAAGGAGGAUUUAGCCGUUCAAAUCCUUUAGACCUUGUGGUGCUUAGUGCAAUGGCAUGAAAAAAAUGGAAGCAGGCUACUUAAACAUACAGCUUAAGUACUCAGCAGCAUAUUAUAAAAGUCUGCGUAGGUUAGGCUUGAAUUCAGGUUAAGCAAAAACCACAAAAGUACUCAUGGUGUUUAUGGAAUAGGGUCCCAUUAGUGCACAGAGAAAGUAAUCCAAUGCCUUUUAUCCUUGUGCAAAUGAAGAAUGAUUCUUUGCUCACAUAUUGUUCUGAAAUGGGAAGUACCUGCAGGAAAAUAAUCAGGCCAGAAAGGAAAUGCUCUGCCUGUGGUGUGUGACAGCUCCUGUGCUCCUGAGUCUGUCCAGUGCCACCAGCCGACACUGUCCCCCAUUCAUGUCUCGUUUAAAGGCAUGAGCUCUUCAUGCCCAGCACUGAGCAGCUUUCAGUGCUCCAGAGCAGACCAGGCUGGGUCCUGUGCUCCACCCACUGCACUGCUUGGAGCAGCUGAAAGAGCCAAAGCCAGCACAGCUACAGCUCGCCGUGGUGCUGCCUGCCUGGGAGAAGGGCAUCGAGCCAAACUGUCAGGGAUGUGAGAUCUGCUUGUUCUUUGCCUCGAUAACAGGUUUUAGAUUGUUCUUUUAACAUUUGGCUGUUUGCAGAGUUCUGCUUUUCCUCUAAAAGAGUUUUGUAGGAUUGAUGGGGCACCUUCACUUGGCUUUUUUAAGUCUAGGUUGCAUCUUGGUACACUUGCGUUUGCAGGGUAACAUAGAGCAUUUACUUCUUUUCCAACUUCUUUAGUUUAUAACAGAGAUGGAAAUCAAGGACUUCUUUAAUGGGUUGAAAAAUCUCCACUGCUACUCUAAUACUGGACUGCUGUGUACCUUGUGUUGUUUUGUUUUAAGUUAGGGCAUUUUCCCUGAAACACAAUUUUCUUCAUCAUGGAAUGCAGUAUGAGGGAGAGGUUGCACUUCAGAGACAUACCUGGCUACAAAACAUUAGUUUUUUCACCUCACUGUUUCCAUUUCUCCUGGAAAUGUCCCUUAUGUAUUCAUUAGGGAGAUGAUGGAUCAGUGUGGCACAGAUUUGGAAUAAGAUUCACACCAGGAGAUGUGAAAAGACAGUAUUGAGAUAGAGAAUGGAAUUCUUUUCAUAUAUGGGAUAGAAAUACUCUGAAGACACAGUAUCUGUUUUUGAUUUCCACAAAUAUUUUUCUUCCUCUUACAUUUCCAUUCUGAAAUUACAUUUCUGUAGAAAGACCUUGUAUUUUUUCUUUAUUGAAGUGAAAUGGCAUGUACUGUAAACUGCUGUCUUAAACAGUAAUGUUUUGCUCAGGACUCCUUGCUGGUAACCAGUGAACCACAAAUAUAUCCCAAGAUGAACAAUUUGAACAGAAGAGUAGCACAUUAUUUACUUGAAUUCAGCAGCAAACUUUGAUUGAAGAGGGUCUGUACCUGUGUUGGUUCCCCAAGAACGUCUGAGUGUUUGACCUAAACACAAAAAGUAGGCAUGAAAGCGUGGGGGUGAUUUAUUCCAGUACUGCUUUCUUUUUGCCAGAAGCCAAUUUUGAUGCACACAUUUCUAGUUCAUCAUGAGUUCUAUCAAAUGAGGAAACAGACCCAACAAGUGACUAAAUGUUUUCUAGCUGGCACUAUGUAUAACCUAUUGCAACAUUCCAUUUUUGUAAGACUUCAAUAUUUUUGCGGUUAAUCACUGCCACCUGACUCAUACCACUAAAAAUGAUGUGGGAAUGGCAAACUGUGAGCAUUUGUGACAAGAUUUCAGCAGACAGUCUGAACACCAGUAGUUACUCUGAAGGAGUUAAUGAAUGUCAAUGUGUCAGCCAGUUCCAGAAUAAGAUAUGACAUAAAUCCUACUGAAAUGAUUGGAAGUCUUUCAACAAAUUUACUCCAUUAGGCUUCAAAUUGGAGGGCUUAUCUACUAAAAUGGGAUGGUAUUCACUUGUUUCUAUUAUUUGUCGCAUACUAUUAAUUACAAUAUUUUUAUCUUUGAAUAAUGUCAAUGAUUACAUGUGUUCAAAAUGUCUGUAGCCUUUCUGUGAGAAAAAUCAUUCAAUCCUGAAAGUUCCUGUCCUGUAAACAGUCCAAAUCAAAUUACGACAGCCUGAUAGCAACUUGUGUUUUUUCUGCUUCACUGUCCUUUGCUUAACUGGAAGAUAAAUGAGACAAGAAAAUUAAAAGUAAUGAAAAUACAAGAUAGCCAAAACAGCUCAGAUUUUCAGAUCAUAAGUUUAAGGUGUAUAGACAUACUGAUAUAUACCUGUGUGCAUACAGAAAUCUCUAAAGAGCAGCUGGCUUGGAAUUUGACUAAUAGCUGGGAAACAGGAGUUCAACUGAAAUAGAGAGCUGAGGUUACAUUAACUCAAUAAAAAAUGUAGGGCCUAACUCAAAAAAUCCAGUGUAUUUAGCAGAAGUCAAGCGAUUUUCUCAUUUGUCUGGCCAGCUUCUAUCAAGUUCA